rnacentral:rRNA from 4 species
UACGUACAAGCAGUGGGAGCAUGAGUUUACUCAUGUGACUGCGUACCUUUUGUAUAAUGGGUCAGCGACUUAUAUUCUGUAGCAAGGUUAACCGUAUAGGGGAGCCGUAGGGAAACCGAGUCUUAACCGGGCGUUAAGUUGCAGGGUAUAGACCCGAAACCCGGUGAUCUAGCCAUGGGCAGGUUGAAGGUUGGGUAACACUAACUGGAGGACCGAACCGACUAAUGUUGAAAAAUUAGCGGAUGACCUGUGGCUGGGGGUGAAAGGCCAAUCAAACCGGGAGAUAGCUGGUUCUCCCCGAAAGCUAUUUAGGUAGCGCCUCGUGAACUCAUCUCCGGGGGUAGAGCAC